CUCGGUCAGGCCGCUGCAGUAACGCGCCUCGUUGUCGUGGGGCGGAAGCUGCUGCAGCAGCUGCUUCACCCGCUCGCGCUCGCCGGCGCUACCCGCGUACGGGAUCUUGUCCUCCGGCAGUGCGCUGAAGUACAGAUGCACCUGCGGAUGCACCAAUAGUGGCCGGGAUUAGGUCUACGGGGUCUCUGAAGAUCGCAUCAUCGGAUAUAGACAGGAGGAAAGAAUUUAGUGUCAACCGCGGCUGACGUUAAUCAACCCUGCUCACUGGAAAUCUGGCCUGCAAAUUUAGAUAAGUAUCAGAGGGGGGAUAUGAGGCAACUGUCAACAUACCGAAGGAACGAGUCGCGUAAGAAAACACUGACGAAUGCGUUUAUAUUACUGCGAGAGAGACCGUGUAAACCUGCUACGACGAGUAUCCGAGCGCGCGAUUCGCUGAAGGAAAUAAAAAGAGGAACGAUAAAAGGAUAUAUACGCAGAGUUUCAUCGAGAGCCGACUGUCAACGCGAAUAUUUCCAUAAGAAUAUCCCCCUGGAAAGCGAAACCGCGCGCGAGCGCGUACACAAUAUAUUUCCAUCGGAAUUUGCGCAUAAUUGAGUUUCUCCGCACGAUCUAGCGGUAAAUCUCUCUCUCUCUCUCUCUAUAUCUCUCUUUCCUUCUGCGUGUUACGGCUCACGUGUGUCUUUACACAAGUGACAAUAGUACUCUACCGUGUUUCGCCGUUAAACAUCAGCCACUUCUUUCAUUUGUGCCAGUCGAGCAGGACGACUUGGUAAGCUUACUAUCGAGAUUGCGUGAUCGAAUUAUCAAUUAAUAAGAAAAUGAUACAAGAGUAGAUAUAUUUUCCGAUUCGUCGCUUUUUGCAAGAGCAAGAUCUUGACGCGCUCUCGGAUGUUUUCUGGGCCGGAAUCUUCGCGCGGAAACGCGAAUUGACGCGAUGAUCGUCCCUCGGCGGGAACUUAAAAGCGCGAAAAGCUUGUUGCGCGGGAUUAUUGUCCCCUCGUCGAGAACGCCGAGUCAUAAUAUAUAAUGCGCGUUAGACGUAAUGACACUUAAAAUGAGUAAAGAAAACGCGCGGACGAACGUGGCUGGGACAGGCUGCGAACGGGGCUGCGAAAGUGGGAAAUAAAAGCGAGAGGGAGAAGAGAGAGGAAUAAGAAGAAGACGAGGAUUUGCACGCAUCGCGUUCCGAGUAGCGAAAUAAACGACGGAUGUUCGCGCAAAAGCCGGCACGAAAGCGCAUCGAAAGAAAGAAGAGAAAGAGAGAGAGGCUCCUCUAUUCCGCGCCGCGUGCGAAACGCUCGCGCUUAAACCAAUUAAAAAGAAGGAUGAGCGCGUUAGUUAGCCCAUUCGCAGAAGUUCUCUAGCGUGAUUCUACGUUAUCGUACGUUUAAUUAAAUCUAAUGAUUGCAUUUUUGA